AUGUGCUCCGUUACCCAGUUGUCUGUCUCUUGUGUUUUGAGUUCAUUGGUCCCAGGUGUUUCCUAUCUUAUUGUCUCAUUAGUUCCAGGUGUCCCUCGUCUUCCUCUCAUCAAGUCUGUGUAUUUAAAGUAUGUUCCGUUUCUAGUCCUUUGUCAGCCGUCAAACGUCAUUCUGUUCUCCUGAUGUGUUGAAUCCUGUGAUCCCCAGCCAAUUUGUAAGUAAUCUACCCAGCACUGUGCUUACAGAGUAAUCGAAAACUGAACACUGAGGGAGUGUUUGCUCAACACCGUUUUUUAGCUAAAAAAAGAAUGCAUUUUGACCGUUCAAAACAAGUUUUAAAUUGUACGAUUUUGAAAACUAUAUUGUUAUCAUCUCUGUGUAGACAACAUAAACACGGUUCACAAAAAUGUGAAUGGGGAUUGCUUUGAUGUUGUAAUCUGUAUGUGAAACUUUUCACAACUGCAAAGGAAAACCUUUUCUGUAUUUAGUGCAACAUUGUCACAUUAGCAUACCCUUACUCAAGAAGGCUAAAAUACACAAGCGUGAUUAGCUAAUUGGCAACUAAACUAGAUGCGAGUGAUGAUGAUAAUUACCAAACUAAUCACUUUAACAAAGGAAUCGGGAACACAUGAGCUAAAAGUCCAUGAACACGAAACUGGAGCUCAGGCUGAAAGUAAUAAAAAUAGUUUGAACACCCAUUAUUAUAGGGGCUAAUGUCAUUUGUUUAGGCUAUGGUGAAAAAAUAAAUAAAUAAAUGAACGAUGUUGCAAUUAUCAUUUACUAAUUUUUUCAAUGUCUGUAUUGUCUAGUUCAUAAAACAGUUCGUAGAAGCCAUGUGUGAAAUAAGUGACUUCUAUAAAGGACAAAUCAUGGAAGCAGGGACAUCUGUAACCUUAAUGGCCUAGUUGUUUAGUGUUUUAAGAACAACAGUAUUUAUGAUUAUGACUGCGAACACAAAGCAUAGCAAGAGUAUAACAGUGUAGUAGAAGAAUAGUGGGUGAAAACAGAAAGUGAAUAAUAAGCACCAU
rnacentral:lncRNA from 1 species